rnacentral:rRNA from 1 species
AACGAACGCUGGCGGCAUGCCUAACACAUGCAAGUCGAACGAUUGCCUUCGGGUGAUAGUGGCGCACGGGUGCGUAACGCGUGGGAAUCUGCCCUUAGGUUCGGAAUAACAGCUGGAAACGACUGCUAAUACCGGAUGAUAUCGCGAGAUCAAAGAUUUAUCGCCUGAGGAUGAGCCCGCGUUGGAUUAGGUAGUUGGUGGGGUAAAGGCCUACCAAGCCGACGAUCCAUAGCUGGUCUGAGAGGAUGAUCAGCCACACUGGGACUGAGACACGGCCCAGACUCCUACGGGAGGCAGCAGUGGGGAAUAUUGGACAAUGGGCGCAAGCCUGAUCCAGCAAUGCCGCGUGAGUGAUGAAGGCCCUAGGGUUGUAAAGCUCUUUUACCCGGGAAGAUAAUGACUGUACCGGGAGAAUAAGCCCCGGCUAACUCCGUG